GGAGCUGCGAUAGAGGGUGCAGCUAGCCUGAAGCAGUGCGAGAGCCAGCAACGCUGCCACGCAACCGACCACGAUGUAGAGCUUCGUUGCGCCCAGGAACAGGUCCGACGAGGAAGACGGAUCCUCCAGUAGAAUAUGACGUCGUCGGAGAAGCGUUUCAUCGUGUACGCGUCCAGGUCGACGUCGAUGCUCUUCACCGGUGAUCCUGCAAGCGGGCGGUAGUCGCAGCUACGGUUUCACCGUGAACUCGCAACGUCGCCUAAGAGAGAGAGAGAGAGAGAGAG
rnacentral:lncRNA from 1 species